AGUGAACGCUGGCGGCCUGCCUAAUACAUGCAAGUCGAACGGAGUGGCGCACGGGUGUGUAAUGUAUAGCUAAUCUUCCCUACACUAGAGGACAACCGUUGGAAACGACUGCUUAUACUCUAUAGUGUAGGAUGAGGCUAUAUUGUAUCAGCUAGUUGGUGAGGUAAUGGCUCUCCAAGGCUAUGACGCAUAACUGGUCUGAGAGGAUGAUGAGUCACACUGGAACGGAGGCACGGGCGAGAAUCCUACGGGAAGGAGCAGUAGGGAAUAGGGCUCAAGGGGGGAACACGUGAAACGGCAUCGCGGCGUGGAGGAUGACAAUUGUCGGAGCGGAAAGUCCUUUUGAUAGGGAAGCGGUACCUGACGAAGAAGCACCGGCUAACUCCGUGCCAGCAGCCGCGGUAAUAC
rnacentral:rRNA from 1 species